GACGAACGCUGGCGGCGUGCUUAACACAUGCAAGUCGAACGGAAAGGCCCUGCUUUUGUGGGGUGCUCGAGUGGCGAACGGGUGAGUAACACGUGAGUAACCUGCCCUUGACUUUGGGAUAACUUCAGGAAACUGGGGCUAAUACCGGAUAGGAGCUCCUGCUGCAUGGUGGGGGUUGGAAAGUUUCGGCGGUUGGGGAUGGACUCGCGGCUUAUCAGCUUGUUGGUGGGGUAGUGGCUUACCAAGGCUUUGACGGGUAGCCGGCCUGAGAGGGUGACCGGCCACAUUGGGACUGAGAUACGGCCCAGACUGCUACGGGAGGCAGGAGUGGGGAAUAUUGCACAAUGGGCGGAAGCCUGAUGCAGCAACGCCGCGUGCGGGAUGACGGCCUUCGGGUUGUAAACCGCUUUCGCCUGUGACGAAGCGUGAGUGACGGUAAUGGGGAAAGAAGCACCGGCUAACUACGU
rnacentral:rRNA from 1 species